ACGAACGCUGGCGGCGUGCUUAACACAUGCAAGUCGAACGGAAAGGCCCUGCUUUUGUGGGGUGCUCGAGUGGCGAACGGGUGAGUAACACGUGAGUAACCUGCCCCUGACUUUGGGAUAACUUCAGGAAACUGGGGCUAAUACCGGAUAGGAGCUCCUGCUGCAUGGUGGGGGUUGGAAAGUUUCGGCGGUUGGGGAUGGACUCGCGGCUUAUCAGCUUGUUGGUGGGGUAGUGGCUUACCAAGGCUUUGACGGGUAGCCGGCCUGAGAGGGUGACCGGCCACAUUGGGACUGAGAUACGGCCCAGACUCCUACGGGAGGCAGCAGUGGGGAAUAUUGCACAAUGGGCGGAAGCCUGAUGCAGCAACGCCGCGUGCGGGAUGACGGCCUUCGGGUUGUAAACCGCUUUCGCCUGUGACGAAGCGUGAGUGACGGUAAUGGGUAAAGAAGCACCGGCUAACUACGUGCCAGCAGCCGCGGUGAUACGUAGGGUGCGAGCGUUGUCCGGAUUUAUUGGGCGUAAAGGGCUCGUAGGUGGUUGAUCGCGUCGGAAGUGUAAUCUUGGGGCUUAACCCUGAGCGUGCUUUCGAUACGGGUUGACUUGAGGAAGGUAGGGGAGAAUGGAAUUCCUGGUGGAGCGGUGGAAUGCGCAGAUAUCAGGAGGAACACCAGUGGCGAAGGCGGUUCUCUGGGCCUUUCCUGACGCUGAGGAGCGAAAGCGUGGGGAGCGAACAGGCUUAGAUACCCUGGUAGUCCACGCUGUAAACGGUGGGUACUAGGUGUGGGGUCCAUUCCACGGGUUCCGUGCCGUAGCUAACGCUUUAAGUACCCCGCCUGGGGAGUACGGCCGCAAGGCUAAAACUCAAAGGAAUUGACGGGGCCCCGCACAAGCGGCGGAGCAUGCGGAUUAAUUCGAUGCAACGCGUAGAACCUUACCUGGGUUUGACAUGGAUCGGGAGUGCUCAGAGAUGGGUGUGCCUCUUUUGGGGUCGGUUCACAGGUGGUGCAUGGCUGUCGUCAGCUCGUGUCGUGAGAUGUUGGGUUAAGUCCCGCAACGAGCGCAACCCUUGUUCACUGUUGCCAGCACGUUAUGGUGGGGACUCAGUGGAGACCGCCGGGGUCAACUCGGAGGAAGGUGGGGAUGACGUCAAGUCAUCAUGCCCCUUAUGUCCAGGGCUUCACGCAUGCUACAAUGGCUGGUACAGAGAGUGGCGAGCCUGUGAGGGUGAGCGAAUCUCGGAAAGCCGGUCUCAGUUCGGAUUGGGGUCUGCAACUCGACCUCAUGAAGUCGGAGUCGCUAGUAAUCGCAGAUCAGCAACGCUGCGGUGAAUACGUUCCCGGGGCUUGUACACACCGCCCGUCAAGUCAUGAAAGUUGGUAACACCCGAAGCCGGUGGCCUAACCGUUGUGGGGGAGCCGUCGAAGGUGGGACUGGUGAUUAGGACUAA
rnacentral:rRNA from 1 species